rnacentral:rRNA from 1 species
ACGUCAAGUCAGUAUGGCCCUUACGGCCAGGGCUGCACACGUACUACAAUGCCCAGUACAGAACGAUCCGAAUCCGGGAGGUGGAGGAAAUCCCUAAAACUGGGCCCAGUUCGGAUUGCACUCUGCAACUCGAGUGCAUGAAGUCGGAAUCGCUAGUAAUCGCGGAUCAGCAUGCCGCGGUGAAUACGUUCCCGGGCCUU